rnacentral:lncRNA from 1 species
CCCCCGCUUUAAGGAAUGUCAUAGUGGUUCAUUUAAAGGUAACUUGGACAAUAUUUUAAGCUUAGUUCUAAUUGGUAUUUAACUAACUAACCUUUUGUUUUUGUAGAAUAAGUUUGAUUUAGAUAACGUUAACUUGGAUCCCGAGCGUGCUCAGUUGUUGCAGAGCAUUGAUGCGACCUUGCAAAGAAUUUAUAGAGGCCGAAAAAAUAAAGCGCAUACUUAUUUUGAGAAUGUCGGGGGGCUUACAGAUAUCCCAAGGGCAUUAGCCAACCCCCCCGAUGGUAUGUCACGUGAAAAUUGGGCGCAAGCAGUCGAGCAUUUUCAAACUCCUGAAUUUCUAAAGCGUUCGGCGUCAAACAAAGGAGUCCGUGCACAACAACAAGUUGUAAACAG